rnacentral:rRNA from 1 species
AUUGAACGCUGGCGGCAGGCCUAACACAUGCAAGUCGAGCGAGCGGCGGACGGGUGAGUAAUGUAUGGGGAUCUGCCUGAUGGCGGGGGAUAACUACUGGAAACGGUAGCAAAUACCGCAUACCAUCAGAUGAACCCAUAUGGGAUUAGCUAGUCGGUGAGGUAACGGCUUACCUAGGCGACGAUCCCUAGCUGGGCUGAGAGGAUGAACAGCCAAACUGGGACCUGGACACGGCCCCGACCUCCACGGGGGGGAGCAGUUGGGAAUUGUUCACAAUUGGCGCCAGCCCUAUGCAGCCAUGCCGGGUGUAUGAAGAAGGCCGUUGGGGUGUAAAGGACUUUCAGCGGGGAGGCGUUACCCGCAGAAGAAGCACCGGCUAACUCCGUGCCAGCAGCCGCGGUAAUUC